AAGGAUCAUUACUAGAGCAAAGGAUAGACAGCGCCCGCGGAGCUCGCUCCCGGGGCUACCCUCUUUGGUAGGGUUUAGAGUCGUCGGGCCUCUCAGAGAAGCUCGGUCCUGAACUCCACCCUUGAAUAAACUACCUUUGUUGCUUUGGCGGGCCGCCUCGUGCCAGCGGCUUCGGCUGUUGAGUGCCCGCCAGAGGACCCAUAACUCUUGUUUUUAGUGAUGUCUGAGUACUAUAUAAUAGUUAAAACUUUCAACAACGGAUCUCUUGGUUCUGGCAUCGAUGAAGAACGCAGCGAAAUGCGAUAAGUAAUGUGAAUUGCAGAAUUCAGUGAAUCAUCGAAUCUUUGAACGCACAUUGCGCCCUCUGGUAUUCCGGGGGGCAUGCCUGUUCGAGCGUCAUUAUAACCACUCAAGCUCUCGCUUGGUAUUGGGGUUCGCGGUUUCGCGGCCCCUAAAAUCAGUGGCGGUGCCUGUCGGCUCUACGCGUAGUAAUACUCCUCGCGAUUGAGUCCGGCAGGUCUACUUGCCAGCAACCCCUAAUUUUUUUUAAGGUUGACCUCAAAUCAGGUAGGAGUACCCGCUGAACUUAAGCAUAUCAAUAAGCGGAGG
rnacentral:rRNA from 1 species